rnacentral:rRNA from 1 species
GACGAACGCUGGCGGCGUGCUUAACACAUGCAAGUCGAACGGAAAGGCCCUGCUUUUGUGGGGUGCUCGAGUGGCGAACGGGUGAGUAACACGUGAGUAACCUGCCCUUGACUUUGGGAUAACUUCAGGAAACUGGGGCUAAUACCGGAUAGGAGCUCCUGCUGCAUGGUGGGGGUUGGAAAGUUUCGGCGGUUGGGGAUGGACUCGCGGCUUAUCAGCUUGUUGGGGGGGUAGUGGCUUACCAAGGAUUUGACGGGUAGCCGGCCUGAGAGGGUGACCGGGCACAUUGGGACUGCGAUACGGCCCAGACUCGUACGGGAGGCAGUAGUGGGGAAUAUUGCAGAAUGGGCGGAAGCCUGAUGCAGCAACGCCGCGUGCGGGAUGCCGGCCUUCGGGUUGUAAACCGCUUUCGCCUGUGACGAAGCGUGAGUGACGGUAAUGGGUAAAGAAGCACCGGCUAACUACGUG